AACGCGAAGAACCUUACCAAGCCUCGACAUCCCCGUGGCCGACCAGCAAAGUGCCAUUUCAUACGGGACAGGGGAGACAGGUGGUGCAUGGUUGUGGUCAGCUGCUGUCGUGAGAUGUUGGCAUAAGUCCCGCAACGAGCGCAACCCAUAAGUUCAGUAGCCAGCAGAUAUAGUCGCCCCCUUCGUAGAGGUUAUCCGGGACAACCUGGAGGAAGGCGGGGAUGACGUCAAAUCAUCAUGCCCGAUAAGGGUUGGGCUGCACACGGGAUUCAACGGAGCAUACAAAGGCAAGCAGCCCUGACAAGCUGACAGAAUCCCUAAAAUAACUUCCCAGGUAAGAGACUCGUUUGCAACCGGUCAACAGGAAGUCAGAAUCGCUAGUAAUCGUGAAUCUGAAUGUCGCGGUGAAUACGUUCCCGGGUCGCGCGCACGCCG
rnacentral:rRNA from 1 species